UCACUUUGUAGACCAGGCUGGCCUCGAACUCAGAAAUCCCCCUGCCUCUGCCUCCUGAGUGCUGGGAUUAAAGGCGUGCGCCAACACGCCCAGCAAUUUUUAAAUUUUUAAAAAUUUAAAAUUUAAUUUUAAGCUUAAAUUUAAGUUAGAAACUUUAAAGUUUUCAAUUUAAGUAUUUUUUAAAAUAUUAUUUUUUUCUUUUCCCACAUUUUUUUCUCAACACGAUAAGGGUGUUGGUUCUGGGUUGUAGCCUCAGCUUUUCCGUUGUUCUUUUAUAAUGUUCAGAUGAUGGAGCUCUGUUCAGUUUAGAACAGUACGUUUACUGUGAGAAAGUUUCACAGUGUCGUUGGAGAAUGGGUCUUUCUCUGUAACCCCAAACUGGUGUUGACGGAGUGAUCAUCCUGCCCCAGUGCAUGGAUUAUAGGUGUGCACUGCCAUACUGGCUAUGAUUUUAAUUGGUUAAUAUAAAUAAACUAUAACGUUUUAGGUGUUCAGUAAAUGUAAUUCAGGAACUGCUUUCUCUUAUUGUAUGGUACAGUGUGGGAUGCACAGAAUCUAAUACCUAAUAGAUUUUUAGUUAAUUUCCCUUUUUUGAUUCAUAGUUUUUUUUUCUUCCUACAAUAUAGGUUUAAGUAAAUACUUUGAAAAUAAUUUUUAUUUUAAAUUAUGAUCUGUUGACUAGUUACUAUCUAUUUUCAUCUGACCUUUCAAUGUAUUUACAAUGAUCAAUCAAAUAUUGACUGAGAAAGUGCAGUAGGUGAGCUGAGUUCCUUCUAGCAUGAAGGUUUUAUAACUCACACAGUCCCCAGUUCUUGUAUUUUUCUGCUAAAAGUCUGUAGAGUACAAGCAGUAUUCAAUGAGGUGGCAUCUUGUUUUGAAUAAAGCAAUAUAUAUAUACUUCUAAUAGAUCCAUAGUAGUUCAUUAUCAUAUAAUGGGUACUUUUAGCAUUUCAGAGGAGUAUGGUUAUCUUCAACUGAAUUUAUUAUGUAUGGCUACAUGCACACAUUGUUUUGUGGACGCUUCAACUUUUUUUUUUUUUUUAAGGAAAACUGUUCAUCUUUUAGUCCUCUAGCUGCCACUUUGGUCUUUUUUCUUAGAGUAAUUGAGUAAAGUUGAAGUUACCUAUUUUGGAAAUAAUCAUUCUUAUUUUUAUACUAAUAUAUUUAAAUAGUUUUUAUUUUCUUUUUUAAAACCAGUACUCGUUUGGAAUGAGAAUAAAUGAAAAAAAUUCAACCAUUUAAGAUGUUUGAAUUUUUGGGGGGCAAUCUAGUUUUAGCAAGCUUUCAUAAAUUGUCGGGUUUGAGUUCUUGAAAACGUCAAAGCAGAUUCUUCUUUUUUUUUUUUUAUGAUGGAAUUUGACUUUGUAGGUAAAUAAGGCUAAGGAGAUUGAAGUUGUGAAUAAACUCAUAAAAGUUCUUAGGAUAUUUUAAUGGUCUCCCAGUGAGAGUUUUAAAAGAACAUAUCUUCAACAGUUUAUGCUACUUAAUUUAGAAAGUCACAAUAAUAUACAAUUAAUUGCUUAAGCACUUAGUCACUGCUUGCUUGAGAGAAACUUUCGAGUUAUGUGAAAAUUUUCUUACAUUCUCUUUAAAGUUCCUGACUCAGUCUACUGUCUCACAGACAGUACAGCUGCAAUGUCAGGGGACGCUUUUAGCAGCCUUCUCUCCUGUUGAGCCUGCUGUGGCCUAGCAGGCUAGGCUUCCGCUCAGUUUCAUGCCAGUGCCGGUCGGUAAGAAGGCGGCAGUGAAGCUCUUACUUGGAGGGCUCUCCUCCGUUUUCUUUCUCUUCUUAUCUCCACUCCAGUGUUUUCUAGUCCUACUCUGCUAAUUUUGCUUCUUAUCUUCUAUCUAAAUCUGUGCUUUCUUUUCAUAUAUGUUCCCAGAAGAAUCUAUUUAUACUUUGUUACUUUUCAGUACAAAUUUUCACUGAAAAUAAAUCUGAAUAUGAAUAUUCUGGAAACUUCAAAUAUAUAUAAUACAAGAUUCCAGUGUGUAGUUUGAGGAAAUAAACUGUUUUCUCCAGCCAAACAUCAUUCCGUGAACAUAGGCUAUGCUUAUAAUUUC
rnacentral:lncRNA from 1 species